rnacentral:tRNA from 1 species
AGCCAGGAGUGCCCGCUGGGCUCAUAACCCGGAGACCGGUGGUUCAAAUCCACCCCUCGCUA